CGGACGGGUGAGUAACGCGUGGGUAACCUACCCUGUACACACGGAUAACAUACCGAAAGGUAUGCUAAUACGGGAUGAUAUAUUUGAGAGGCAUCUCUUGAAUAUCAAAGGUGAGCCAGUACAGGAUGGACCCGCGUCUGAUUAGCUAGUUGGUAAGGUAACGGCUUACCAAGGCGACGAUCAGUAGCCGACCUGAGAGGGUGAUCGGCCACAUUGGAACUGAGACACGGUCCAA
rnacentral:rRNA from 1 species